AGAUGUGACGGGCGCUGCUGUCGGGGGUCACGGGGGCUCCCAGGGCGACAGAGGAGGUCUGGGCUCAGUCCUCAGAGAUCUGGUAAAACCGGGAGACGAGAACCUGCGAGAGAUGAACAAGAAGCUGCAGAACAUGUUGGAGGAACAGCUGACGAAGAACAUGCACCUGCAGAAGGACCUGGAGGUUCUCUCCCAGGAAUUAGUCCGUCUCAGUAAAGAGAGCAGUCCGGGUGGCAGCACAGCUGGGUCGGGAUGAGACUAUCGCCUGGAUCCAUCCGUCCAUUCCUUUCCCUCUCACUACUGUAUUUCACCUCAGCUGAACGGAGCCUGCUGGGCUUAGACUAACACCUGGAAACAACAUUUCUUCCUUUUCUUAUUCCCUGCGUUCAUAACCUCAGCUCUUCCAUUCCCAGUCUGCCUGCUGGGCUACGACUAAAUGCUGGAGUCUGUGGUUUCUCAAUGGAGAGAGCAAACAGUAAGAGGGACCAAAGGGAAUGGAAAAGUCCGCUCAGUUCAUUUAUGUUGCUAUUGAAUGUACUGUUAUUAGACAGCACCACUCACUUCCUCCAAAUCCUGGCUACGACCUGGAAAACACACGUUGUAAAAGACUUAUGAUUUUGAUUGUAACUGACUGUAAAUCCUGUUUCUAAUGUCUGUCUGUUGGGUCCUGGCUAUGUCCUGGAAAACACAUGCUCUGCAUUCUUUUUUGUUUUCUUUGUGCAGUAGCUCUGUUGUGAUCUGGCUACUUCCUGGGCUUCUUGUCU